AAACCCCUCCCAGCAGAGCUGCGAGCAGCAGAUACAGCAGCAGCAGCAACUCCGCCAGUGCCAGAUGCACUUGAGGCAGCAGGUCCGCGACCGGCAGCAGGAAGGGGAGGACGGCCUGUGGGGCAGCAGCCUUGGCGACAAUCAACAACAGCAGUAUCUUCGACAAUGCUGCCAACAACUGCAGCAGCUGGACAACAGAUGCCGCUGCCCGGGGCUAGAGCAAGCGUUGAGAAGCCAGCUGCAGCAAGGACAGAUACAGGGCGGGAUGUUGCGACAAGCUUAUGAGUCGGCCAGUCAAAUUCCUCGCAAGUGCAACAUUUCUCCAAGGCAGGGCUGUGACUUCAGUUCACCUUACUUCUAGAUACGUGUUUCUAAUAAUAAUGGCUAGCGUGUGUGCUCUGGUGGUGCCCCCGGGGUGGGGCGGGGGGGUGGGUGGGAGUGCAUGAUAUAUGCUACAGCAGCCAAGGCAGGGCUGUGACGUCAGUUCACCUUACUUGUAGAUACGUGUUUCUAAUAAUAAUGGCUAGCGUGUGUGCUCUGGUGGUGCCCCCGGGGUGGGGCGGGGGGGUGGGUGGGAGUGCAUGAUAUAUGCAUGCAAGUUAGUAAUAAAAUUAAGUUCACUGUUAAAGAGUGACUAGCUUUAGAGUAUAAUAAAUCACGUCGCCGUGUGUCUUUAAUUUGCCUGUAGGUGAUGAGUAGUGUGUAAUUAUGUAGACUUAAUAGGCUGCAGUGUGGAAUCGAAGUCGCUUUAUUAAGAAAAGAGUGUUAUCUUUGUUAAUUUCUUAUAGUGUACUUUGUUUUACUCUGGUUUCUACAUUUAUCACCUGAGCUUGUCCAAUUAUACCACACUAUCAUGGCAAUGAAAAUUAAUUAAUCUCCUGUUUAGGGAGCUCCAUUACAAAUGAUAAUAUGUAAAGACUAACAUUGAAAAAUAGUAAUUUAUAGAACAGCUGGGGGUGGGCCUUGCGAGGAUUCAGUAAAUAUUGUUUCACCUGCUUAAUAAACAUAACUUGAACGACCAAAAUCUUUUAUCUUAAUAAGAGGUUCUGGUGGAAGAGACAGUUCUAUGUAGUGUUCAAUACCGACCGUUACCCCUGCGGAUAGUAGUGUGGCAGCGGGCAUAUUAAUUUCU
rnacentral:lncRNA from 1 species